AAAAUCCGUCGAUUUUAAAAAUCGUGAGG
rnacentral:tRNA from 5 species